rnacentral:ncRNA from 2 species
AUCGACGAUGCGGGAGAGAUCGACGCGAAUGCAUCACGCAUUCGCAUCGGCGCCGACGGAGCAACCGCCCCGGAAACUCUCAGGCAAAAGGACCGUAUCGUCAGG